rnacentral:rRNA from 1 species
GAUGAACGCUGGCGGCGUGCCUAAUACAUGCAAGUCGAGCGAACAGACGAGGAGCUUGCUCCUCUGACGUUAGCGGCGGACGGGUGAGUAACACGUGGAUAACCUACCUAUAAGACUGGGAUAACUUCGGGAAACCGGAGCUAAUACCGGAUAAUAUAUUGAACCGCAUGGUUCAAUAGUGAAAGACGGUUUUGCUGUCACUUAUAGAUGGAUCCGCGCCGCAUUAGCUAGUUGGUAAGGUAACGGCUUACCAAGGCAACGAUGCGUAGCCGACCUGAGAGGGUGAUCGGCCCCACUGGACCUGAGACACGGUCCAGACUCCUACGGGAGGCAGCAGUAGGGAAUCUUCCGCAAUGGGCGAAAGCCUGACGGAGCACCGCCGCGUGAGUGAUGAAGGUCUUCGGAUCGUAAAACUCUGUUAUUAGGGAAGAACAAAUGUGUAAGUAACUAUGCACGUCUUGACGGUACCUAAUCAGAAAGCCACGGCUAACUACGUG